rnacentral:rRNA from 1 species
UACGUAGGGGGCAAGCGUUAUCCGGAUUUACUGGGUGUAAAGGGAGCGUAGGCGGCGAGGCAAGUCAGAAGUGAAAACCCAGGGCUCAACUCUGGGAUUGCUUUUGAAACUGCUUUGCUUGAUUUCAGGAGAGGUAAGCGGAAUUCCUAGUGUAGCGGUGAAAUGCGUAGAUAUUAGGAGGAACACCAGUGGCGAAGGCGGCUUACUGGACUGACAAUGACGCUGAGGCUCGAAAGCGUGGGGAGCAAACAGG